AGGAAGUGGCUGAGAGGGCGCCCUGAUAGACUUCGGCUCCGGGGCUGCAGCGGUGCAGGUGGUCCUGGGGUUUGCAGUCUGGCAACCGCCAAGCAAGUAGGGGGCAGUGCAAGAGCCAAGACUUCUGGCCCUCAGCUCUCUUGGGAGUCUGAGGUCUGGAUGAAGCUGGCCUCCGGGGACCACUCCCUGGGAAGGAACUAGGCCCCAGUGGAAGGAGGACCCUAGCCAGUCUCCGAGGGGCUCGCUCAGGCCCUGAGCACAUGGGACAGCGGCCCACAUAUUAGACGUGAUGGCUGUGAGGGGAUUUCAGACCCUCCAGCCCAGAGCCAAGUCAGCCUUGUUCCCUGCUGAACCCUGGGGGCCUCGAACAAUGCCUGGCCAGGAACUCCCACUUGAUUCAGAAUGUGACUCCCUGACACACAUAGAGACACAGAGACACGUGGUGACCUGCUCCACAAGGACUCCUCGACACACACCCACCCCUGCCGGGCUGCCACGGACACACCC
ensembl:lncRNA